rnacentral:rRNA from 1 species
UACAGAGGUCCCAAGCGUUGUUCGGAUUCACUGGGCGUAAAGGGUGCGUAGGCGGUCGGGUAAGUCUGAUGUGAAAUCUCACAGCUUAACUGUGAAACUGCAUUGGAUACUAUCCGGCUUGAGGAAUGGAGGGGAGACUGGAAUACUUGGUGUAGCAGUGAAAUGCGUAGAUAUCAAGUGGAACACCAGGUGGCGAAGGCGGAGUCUGGUCGAUUUCCUGACGCUGAGGCACGAAAG